GGAAAAAAAUCGAUGUUAUGGAUAGUUAGCAACGUUGCUGACAUAACGUAGGCUAUCAUUCUUAUCUGAAGUAAAUGAAAUCGGUAGUUUCCCGUUUAAGACAAAAUACAAAAUAGCGCAUUCAAGUUGAAUAAGUAGAAGCUUCUAUACAGUUUCAUCUUUUGUAGCAAGUAGUCGCGUUUACCGAAUCGCAAAUCUUGUGUUCAUAUUUAAGUGCUCUUCGUAAACCUUCACUAAUUGUUGGUAUUUUCGUUUUAUUUGAAACCAAGUUUGGAGUUUACACAUUAUACCUUAAUUCCAGAAGCUGAGUCAGAUUUCGCUCUCCGUUGUAUUCGAAACCAAAAUACAACAGCUGACGAAUUCGAUAUUUACUGGAAAAAAUUCUCUCAGCUUAGAUUUUCCGAAAUUGAACAUUAAAGGAGCACAAAUUACAUUUUGAAACGUUGGUCUGAGUACAAAAAGCUUUCUGGAAAUAAUUUGAUCGAUAUCGAUUUUGCGCUUAAAUAUCCUAAAUCCUGUAAUCUUAUAUUAAAGUGGCCACUUUACGAGAAAAAUAUCUGACAUCUAAAAUAGUAGCAUCUAAAAUUUCUUCCAAAAUCGUAACUAAUAUCGAUAAAUACGACGAAGAAUCGAAAAUUUUCUUGAUUUUUUGGAAUUUGCACCAUCUUCUUCCACCGCAACAAAAGCUAAUCACAGACAAAACUGACAUAAAAAUAAAACGGAAGUACUCCAUACCUAAUUCACAGAAUUCUUUGCUCUUAUUGCCGAAAACAACAAGGAAAUGGAUCUUAAAGUGAAACUGUUGAAACUGCGCAAAACCAAUAUCCAGCCUAUACUGCUUGUUACGGGAGAACCGGAUAGUGUCAAACAAAUACACAUUUAUUUCGAUGGAAUACGUUUUCCAAUUCUAAAAGUCUUAACAGCUGUAGAUUUAUUGUUUAAAAUAUUCUUUGUAUGUAAUUUAGAAUUUCCUGACGAAUCUAAUAUUUUUUACAACUUUAUUCAAACCUUUUUGUAUGAAAUGAAAUCUGAUAAUAAAUGUCCAAAAAUCUCUAUGAUGUAAAAUAAAAUUUUAAAAUUAAAUUUAACGUAAAAACUAUAAUGUAAAAUGUGUAUAUAUGCAAUCAUUUAAUUCCCUUAAUAUAUAAAUAUCACAAUCAAUGUAUUAAACAAAAGAUAGACAUACAUAUGUAACAACAAAGGGUUUGUAUAUAUGAACAUUUCUAGAUCGAAUUUUGCUUUGAUAUUUAACACACCUGAUUGUAUAUACACUAUUUUUUUUUUUCAAAUUAAAAAAUAAUUCAAACACCCUGAAGUUUGAAAAGAAGUCUGAUGGAAUUCAGCAUUCUCGAGGAAAUGAACCAGCAGUAUUAAUGUAGUAUUGGCCUAUAUAACACACACAACAAACAGACCAAGUACAACCGUCAAUACAUUUACUGGACAUAUCUAUGAGUAAAUUGUGCGAAGACACAGACUUAGGCUGGUGAUUACUUAUUUACAGAAUACGAUUCCGAUUCAGGAAUCUUGAAGUACGGCUUGAACAUAGUAGCUAAUGAAAAAAUUUAAAAAAAAAUCCCAAAUGCUAGAGAUUGGAGCACAAUGGAAGAAAUUAAAGAAGGAAAUCCUAAUCAGCAGCCAACCGAAGAAGACAUGCAGAGAUUUACAACUUUUGCAGAAAGUAGAAAAUUUAGAAAAAAUAUUUCAACAUUUUGUUAGUGUCAAAUAUGAAAUAGAUUUUAUAUGAUGUAGGUUUUGAGAAAACCAAAAAUGUAUGGGUCAUAAAAAGUUGACAGAUAUUUAGUAGAUCUUUUGUUAGAGAAGAUAGAUGGUCUUGUUAGAGCCCAUAUAUCAGAUGAAGAAUCACUUCAAGACAUUAUAAAUAAGUAUACAAGGCUCAGAUUAUAGGAUCAGAU